AUGAACGCUGGCGGCGUGCCUAAUACAUGCAAGUCGAGCGAACAGACGAGGAGCUUGCUCCUCUGACGUUAGCGGCGGACGGGUGAGUAACACGUGGAUAACCUACCUAUAAGACUGGGAUAACUUCGGGAAACCGGAGCUAAUACCGGAUAAUAUAUUGAACCGCAUGGUUCAAUAGUGAAAGACGGUUUUGCUGUCACUUAUAGAUGGAUCCGCGCCGCAUUGGCUAGUUGGUAAGGUAACGGCUUACCAAGGCAACGAUGCGUAGCCGACCUGAGAGGGUGAUCGGCCACACUGGAACUGAGACACGGUCCAGACUCCUACGGGAGGCAGCAGUAGGGAAUCUUCCGCAAUGGGCGAAAGCCUGACGGAGCAACGCCGCGUGAGUGAUGAAGGUCUUCGGAUCGUAAAACUCUGUUAUUAGGGAAGAACAAAUGUGUAAGUAACUAUGCACGUCUUGACGGUACCUAAUCAGAAAGCCACGGCUAACUACGUG
rnacentral:rRNA from 1 species